GGCGAGGAGGCCGCCCCAGUGACAGCGAUGGCGGUGGAGUCGGCGCUCCAGGUGGUGGAGAAGCUGCAGGCGCGCCUGGCCGCGAACCCGGACCCCAAGAAGCUAUUGAAAUAUUUGAAGAAAUUUUCCACCCUACCUAUUACAGUAGACAGGGGUUGGGAAGACGGUGAAUAGCUUUUGAAAGCAUGAGCAAGUUGGGGACUUCACCAGGGGCCUUGUGGCCCAGUGGAAGAAGCUGGUGCCUGUUGAACAAAACAAUGAGGCUGAGGAACAGGACUUUGAGAAGAGUAAUUCAAGAAAGCGCCCUCGGGAAGCUCUUCAGAGAGAGGAAGAGAUCGAAGGGGACUACCAGGAAAACUGGAAAGCUUCCGGCAGCUGGUCCUAUAGCCCUGAGCACAGACAGAAAAAACACAAAAAGCUCUUGGAGCUGGAAAGACCUCACAAAGUGUCUCACAGUCAUGAGAGGAGAGAGGAGAGGAAGAGGUAUCUCAGAAUGUCACCUGCAUACUCUUCAGACCCCAAGUCUUCUGACUACGGCCAUGUCCAGUCCCCUCCGUCCGCUGGCAGUCCUCAUCAGAUGUACAUGGACAAUUACAGGUCCCCAGAGGAGGAGCAUGAGCCCACUGUUCCACAUCAGAAACCCAGAAAAGGCCACAGUAAUGCCUUUCACGAUAGACUAGGGGUCAGCCAUGAGCAACACCUGGGUGAAACCCAUGGGAAAGGGACCCUGAAUCCAAGCAAGGAGCACAAAUCUUCCCACAAGGAGAAACGCUUCGGGGAAGCCAAGAGCGAUGAAAAGUCCUCUUUGGGCAGAGAGAAACCACAUAAGUCUCUCUCCAGAGAGGAGAACCAAAGGCCACUGUCAGGGGACAGUGUCAAGGAGAAACUGCCCUCCAGUGCCACCAAGAAAGAGAAGGAAAGAGAAGGUAGCAGCCUCAAAAAGAAGUGUUUGCCCUCUGUGGAGGUUGUCUCAGACAACCACCUUAAAAAAUCAAAGCACAAGGACUCUGAGAAAACCAAGUCAGACAAAAGCAAGCAAAGUGCGGAUGGCUUAGACGUGGGGAAAGGGGUGGGAGACUCUUCCAAAAUAAGAGAGAAGGUUUCUAACAACCUCAAGACUCAAGAAGGGAAAGUAAAAACCUCCAAUUCAGAGAGGAAGUCACUGAGCUCGCUCCCUAAAGUGGAGGAGACCGACGUGGAUGAUGAAUUUGAGCAGCCCACCAUGUCGUUUGAGUCGUACCUCAGCUAUGACCAGCCCUACAAGAAAAAGAAAAAGGUGGUAAAAACUUCAACCACAGCACCUGGGGAAAAAGGACUUUAAAAAAGUGGUUCCAAAAGCACUAGUAAAAACUUGGACUCAGUUCAAAAAUUGCCCAAAGUGAAUGAAAACAAAUCUGAGACGCCACAGCCAACUGGAAUGGAUUCAGCCAGGCUGAGAAAGGUCCCCCCCCACCCCCGAAGCACUGCCAGUGUUGCCAGACCUCCCGUUGUCUACAAUCCAGGCCAAUUACCGCCCACUUCCUUCCCUUGAGUUCAUGUCAUCCUCCCUUGAGUUCAUGUCAUCCUCCCAGCCAAAGCGAAAAGCAUUUUCUUCGCUCCAGGAAGAAGAAGCAGCCGGGUUCACGGGGCGCAGGAUGAACUCUAUGAUGCAGGUGUACUCUGGUUCCAAGUGUGCCUAUCUCCCCAAAAUGAUGACCCUGCACCAGCAGUGCAUCCGUGUGCUCAAGAACAACAUCAAUUCCAUCUAUGAAGUGGGAGGAGUCCCCUAUUCUGUUCUUGAACCCGUUCUGGAGAGGUGUACACCAGAGCAGUUGUACCGCAUAGAGGAAUACAAUCAUGUUUUAAUUGAAGAAACAGAUCAAUUAUGGAAAGUUCAUUGUCACUGAGACUUUAAGGAAGAAAGACCCGAAGAAUAUGAGUCCUGGAGGGAGAUGUAGCUGCGGCUUCAGGAUGCCCGAGAGCAGUGGCUACGAGUUCUGACAAAGAAUAUCUGAUCUGCACAUGCCAACAAGCCCAAAGGCCGGCAAGCAAAGAUGGCCUUUGUCAACUCUGUGGCCAAGCCACCUCGCGAUGUUCGGCGGAGGCAGGAGAAGUUUGGAACUGGAGGAGUCACUGUCCAUGAGAAAGUCAAGAUUAAGCCGGCCCCAUACACCACAGGAAGCAGCCACGUUCCUGCCAGCAGCAACAGCUUUAACUCCAGCCCGGAGGAGCCGGCCUACGAUGGCCCCAGCACCAGCAGCGCCCACUUGGCGCCAGUGGUCAACAGUACUGUCUGCUAUGAUCCUAGGAAACCAGCAGUGAAGAAAGUUGCCCCGAUGAUGGCCAAGACGAUUAAAGCUUUCAAGAAUAGAUUCUCCAGGCAAUAAACGGGAAGACCUGCCUUGCAGGUGGAAUUUGGGAGACAGGAAUACAGGGACAUUGGGGCUGCGGAGUGAGCCUUCCAGAGGAGACCGGAGUCUUUUGCUUUGUGCCAGCUUUUGGCCUCUGCAGCCUGCACGUGUGCUGGUGUCGGCCCUGUGUG